rnacentral:rRNA from 14 species
AUAACGACUCUCGGCAACGGAUAUCUCGGCUCUCGCAUCGAUGAAGAACGUAGCGAACUGCGAUACUUGGUGUGAAUUGCAGAAUCCCGUGAACCAUCGAGUCUUUGAACGCAAGUUGCGCCCGAAGCCAUUUGGCCGAGGGCACGUUUGCCUGGGUGUCACA